UAGAAUUUGAUUUGCAUCUCUGAGAUCAAUUGGAAUAAGCCCUGUUACUCAAUAGGACUGCAUCCAAUCAAUCCAAAGCCAAUCUAAUUGAAUCCAAUUCAAUUAGAUCUAAUCCAAUCUUUAUUGCUCAAUCAAAUUGAAUCAAUUAACAAUCAUAUUGUUAAUUAAUUAUUUUUUAAUUUAUCAAUCAUUAGUAAAUAAUUUAUUGCAAUAUUUACAUAAGAUUAAUCAUCAAUCAAAUUGAUAAUUAAACCCUUCAACGAUUCAUAAUCGUCGAUCAGCCAUU
rnacentral:lncRNA from 1 species